rnacentral:rRNA from 1 species
UACCAGCACCCCGAGUGGUCGGGACGAUUAUUGGGCCUAAAGCAUCCGUAGCCGGCCUUACAAGUCCUCCGUUAAAUCCAGCUGCUUAGCAGAUGGGCUGCGGAGGAUACUAUAAGACUAGGAGGCAGGAGAGGCAAGCGGUACUCAGUGGGUAGGGGUAAAAUCCGUUGAUCCAUUGAAGACCACCGGUGGCGAAGGCGGCCAUCUGGACCGGUUCUGACGCUGAGGCGCGAAAGCGUGGGGAGCAAACAGG